GAUGAACGCUAGCUACAGGCUUAACACAUGCAAGUCGAGGGGAAACGACAUCGAAAGCUUGCUUUUGAUGGGCGUCGACCGGCGCACGGGUGAGUAACGCGUAUCCAACCUGCCCACAACUUGGGGAUAACCUUGCGAACGUAAGACUAAUACCCAAUGACGUCUCUAGAAGACAUCUGAAAGAGAUUAAAGAUUUAUCGGUGAUGGAUGGGGAUGCGUCUGAUUAGCUUGUUGGCGGGGUAACGGCCCACCAAGGCGACGAUCAGUAGGGGUUCUGGUAGGAAGGUCCCUCACAUUGAAACUGAGACACGGUCCAAACUCCUACGGGAGGCAGCAGUGAGGAAUAUUGGUCAAUGGGCGAGAGCCUGAACCAGCCAAGUAGCGUGCAGGAUGACGGCCCUAUGGGUUGUAAACUGCUUUUAUAAGGGAAUAAAGUGAGUCUCGUGAGACUUUUUGCAUGUACCUUAUGAAUAAGGACCGGCUAAGUCCGUGCCAGCCGCCGCCGUAA
rnacentral:rRNA from 1 species